CCUACGGGAGGCAGCAGUGAGGAAUAUUGGUCAAUGGACGAGAGUCUGAACCAGCCAAGUAGCGUGAAGGAUGACUGCCCUAUGGGUUGUAAACUUCUUUUAUAAAGGAAUAAAACGAGGCACGUGUGCCUUUUUGCAUGUACUUUAUGAAUAAGGAUCGGCUAACUUCGUGCCAGCAGCCGCGGUAAUACGGAGGAUCCGAGCGUUAUCCGGAUUUAUUGGGUUUAAAGGGAGCGUAGAUGGGUUGUUAAGUCAGUUGUGAAAGUUUGCGGCUCAACCGUGAAAUUGCAAUUGAUACUGGCAGUCUUGAGUACAGUUGAGGUAGGCGGAAUUCGUGGUGUAGCGGUGAAAGGCUUAGAUAUCACGAAGAACCCCGAUUGCGAAGGCAGCUUACUAAACUGUGACUGACAUUGAUGCUCGAAAGUGUGGGUAUCAAACAGGAUUAGAUACCCCGGUAGUC
rnacentral:rRNA from 1 species